rnacentral:rRNA from 1 species
ACUCCUACGGGAGGCAGCAGUGGGGAAUAUUGCAGCAAUGGGCGCAAGCCUGAUGCAGCCAUGCCGCGUGUAUGAAGGUAGGGCCUUCGGGUUGUAAAGUACCUUUCAGUUGUGAGGAAAGGUUAGUCGCUAAUAUCGGCUAGCUGUUGACGUUAGCAACAGAAGAAGCACCGGCUAACUCCGUGCCAGCAGCCGCGGUAAUACGGAGGGUGCGAGCGUUAAUCGGAAUUACUGGGCGUAAAGCGCGUGUAGGUGGCUUGUUAAGUCAGAUGUGAAAGCCCGGGGCUCAACCUCGGAACUGCAUUUGAAACUGGCAGACUAGAGUACUGUAGAGGGGGGUAGAAUUUCAGGUGUAGCGGUGAAAUGCGUAGAGAUCUGAAGGAAUACCGGUGGCGAAGGCGGCCCCCUGGACAGAUACUGACACUCAGAUGCGAAAGCGUGGGGAGCAAACAGGAUUAGAUACCCUGUAGGUGACAAAU